rnacentral:rRNA from 1 species
GAUGAGCGCUGGCGGCGUGCCUAAUACAUGCAAGUCGAGCGGUAAGGCCCCUUCGGGGGUACACGAGCGGCGGACGGCUGAGUAACACGUAGGAACGUACCCCAAAGUGAGGGAUAACUGCUCGAAAGAGUAGCUAAUACCGCAUGUGAUCUACGGAUUAAAGCUUUAUGCGCUUUGGGAACGGCCUGCGUCCGAUUAGCUUGUUGGUGAGGUAAUAGCUCACCAAGGCGAUGAUCGGUAGCUGGUCUGAGAGGAUGAUCAGCCAGACUGGGACUGAGACACGGCCCAGACUCCUACGGGAGGCAGCAGUAGGGAAUUUUCCACAAUGGGCGAAAGCCGGAUGGAGCAACGCCGCGUGCAGGAUGAAUGCCUUAGGGUUGUAAACUGCUUUUAAUAGUGACGAUUAUGACGGUAACUAUUGAAUAAGGACCUGCUAACUACGUGCCAGCAGCCGCCGUAA